CGCGAGGGGGCGCCUGGGGCGGGGCUUAUGGGCGGGACGCGCAUGCGUCUGGGCGUGGGCUCCUCGCGCCACUAGGCAAGGCGACUUCUCUUGCGCCUGCGCAAGCCGGAAGUGUCCGGAAGGAGUAGGGAGGGAAUGGCUUUGACGACGUGAAGUUCAGUGGGUGUUUUCCGUUAGAGUUGUCCUGUCUAAUGACCAACAGAUCCUGUCUGGCUUAACAAUGAAAUUCUGCAGGUUCCUCCUUUUGCGUGUACCACGAGCUCAGUGGUAGAGCACUUCCCAACAUUCUUGGUUUCAGUCCUCAAUACUGAAAAUAAAAAGCAACAGCAACAAAAUGUGCCCCCUCAGGGUCAGAUGUGGCGGCACAGCCCUUAAUCCAGCAUUUGGGAGGCAGAGGCAUGUGGAUAUGUGAGUUCAAGGCUAAUCGGGUUUACAUACUGGAUACUGGGAAAGCCAGGGUGACAUGAGGACAUACUGUCAAAAAAAUACUUUUUAAAAAUGUCUUCUCUUGA